rnacentral:rRNA from 1 species
GACGAACGAUGGCGGCGUGCUUAACACAUGCAAGUCGAACGGUAAGGCCCCUUCGGGGGUACUCGAGUGGCGAACGGGUGAGUAACACGUGAGCAACCUGCCCUUGACACUGGAAUAACAGUUGGAAACAGCUGCUAAUGCCGGAUAUGACCUUCGGUGACAUCACCUGGAGGUGGAAAGUGCUUAGCGGUCAAGGAUGGGCUCGCGGCCUAUCAGCUAGUUGGUGAGGUAACGGCUCACCAAGGCUUCGACGGGUAGCCGGCCUGAGAGGGCGACCGGCCACACUGGGACUGAGAUACGGCCCAGACUCCUACGGGAGGCAGCAGUGGGGAAUACUGCACAAUGGGCGCAAGCCUGAUGCAGCAACGCCGCGUGCGGGAUGACGGCCUUCGGGUUGUAAACCGCUUUCAGUUCCGACGAAGCGCAAGUGACGGUAGGAACAGAAGAAGGACCGGCCAACUACGUGCCAGCAGCCGCCGUAACAC